rnacentral:tRNA from 1 species
GUCUUCGUGGCUCAGUUGGUUAGAGCGUUGGUCUCAUAUUGAACUCAGGUAUGAGGAUAUCAUUGAUAUCCAGCCAUCCAAAGGUCGCGAGUUCAAGUCUCGCCGAGGACA